rnacentral:lncRNA from 1 species
GUCUUGGGAAACAGGUGAGCCUUCUCAGAGCAGCUGAGCUUGGUUGAGAGCUUGCUUCUUUCUGUUUCAGCUUAAAACCAUUCCUUAGGUUUGGGACCUCCUGGCCCUUCCUGGGAUGAUGUCUUUGGGGGCUAAGCACUGCAAGGCAGAGCACAGCUGCCUGUUGGUGUGAUAGCUUUCAGGUGAAAAACCCUUCCCUUCAUAUGGGGCCUUAUGCGGCUCAGUUGCCCUAUUGAAAAGGGGGAGUGCUGGUGCUACAGCACCUGGCAGUGAUGUGGGGGGCUGGAGAAGGGGCAGAGUGAGGGGAAAAGGGCCAUGAAAAGCAAGAGCCCUUGGCUGGCUUCUCCUUGGGGUGGUGCUGUGGGUGGCAGGGGAGCCACCCCUGGCUAGAGCUAGGCUAGAGCCUGCUCCAUCUGGGCAAUGCAAGAUAUUGCAGAAUUCUUCGUUAUAGUGUGUAUCAACAGUGAAGAUAAGCAGUUACCUCUUGAGACUGACGGUUACCUCACAGUGACUGGGCAAUGGAUUUAUUCUCAGUUCUGAAUUUGGAAAGAUCCUGUGUAAUAGUUCUGCUUCUCUGUGACACUUCAUAAAGCUAUGCAUGAGAUAUGCCCGUGCUGAUUCACGUGAUUCGUAGUUGGCAUCUAUCAACAAAGAAUCACUUGUUGCGACUUCAUCUGGAGGAAACCCAGAGCAGUCAAAAGGAAAUGUUUCUCAGAGUGCAGCUCUUCGUCUUGUGAAAAUAUACAUUCUGGAUCAGACUUGUGGCCUCUCCUGACAUUUCAUCCCUCACAGUGACAAACACCUAGGAAGGAGAAUAAAAGAAAAAAUCUUCGGUAACA